GCCAGUGUGAUGUAGUUGUUUGAGUGUUGGACUACGACCCUGAAGACUAGGGUUCAAAUCCCUGCUCGGUCA